UUUAAACCUUUGAGAAAGAGUAGUAGGCUUUAGUAUUUAAUUACAGAGAGUUGCAGAUGGUGGAAAUGCAAUAUUGAAUUUUUGGCUGAAUGGACUUUUGAGGGCAAUUCAGAAUUAACAGUAUGAAUUGACGGAGACCAUUACCGUUAUUGUAUGGCAUAUAUGAUUGUAUAUGAUUAAGUGGAUUUUUUAAAAAUCAAUUUGAGUGGUACCGCGGAAUUAUUCGUCUCAAGC
rnacentral:ncRNA from 1 species